rnacentral:rRNA from 1 species
AGAGUUUGAUCAUGGCUCAGAACGAACGCUGGCGGCAUGCCUAACACAUGCAAGUCGAACGAGACCUUCGGGUCUAGUGGCGCACGGGUGCGUAACGCGUGGGAACCUGCCUUUAGGUUCGGGAUAACAGUUGGAAACGACUGCUAAUACCGAAUGAUGUCUUCGGACCAAAGAUUUAUCGCCUUUAGAUGGGCCCGCGUUGGAUUAGGUAGUUGGUGGGGUAAAGGCCUACCAAGCCGACGAUCCAUAGCUGGUCUGAGAGGAUGAUCAGCCACACUGGGACUGAGACACGGCCCAGACUCCUACGGGAGGCAGCAGUGGGGAAUAUUGGACAAUGGGCGAAAGCCUGAUCCAGCAAUGCCGCGUGAGUGAUGAAGGCCUUAGGGUUGUAAAGCUCUUUUACUGGGGAUGAUAAUGACAGUACC